rnacentral:rRNA from 1 species
UGGAGCGGGGACAGAUUCUUAAGGAAUUGACGGGAGGGCCGCACAAGCGGAGGAACAUGUGGUUUAAUUCGAUGAUACGCGAGGAACCUUACCCGGGCUUGAAAUGCGGCGGACCGGCAGAGAGAUCUGCCUUCCCUUCGGGGCCGCCGUGUAGGUGCUGCAUGGUUGUCGUCAGCUCGUGCCGUGAGGUGUCGGCUUAAGUGCCAUAACGAGCGCAACCCUCAUCAUUAGUUACUAACAGGUCAUGCUGAGGACUCUAGUGAGACUGCCAUCGUAAGAUGCGAGGAAGGUGGGGAUGACGUCAAAUCAGCGCGGCCCUUACGUCCGGGGCGACACACGUGUUACAAUGGGUGGUACAGAGGGCAGCUACCUGGCGACAGGAUGCUAAUCUCCAAAACCACUCUCAGUUCUGAUCGGAGUCUGCAACUCGACUCCGUGAAGCUGGAUUCGCUAGUAAUCGCGCAUCAGCCACGGCGCGGUGAAUACGUUCCCGCGUCUUGCACACACCGCCCGAAUCU